CCGGGGCGGAGGAGGCUUCGUCCUCCCCGGCCGGGGCUCUCCUCAUCCCCCGGCCGCAGGGCUCGGGCCGGGCCGGUGGGCAGAGCUUUCAGAUGGUGCCCCAUCAGAAACAACCUUACUGGAAAUUGGCGAGUACUGAGCAGAAUCAGACUCUGUGUGAGUCCUGCAUAAUAAUUGCCCUCUACAGCAGAACUACCACGAUGUAUGGAUCCUACUCAUUCUCAUCCCAGAAUGUGACCUACUUGCUCAAGAUACAGAGUGUCCUCAUGGAAGUUACUGGGAUGAACCUGAACAGCUACAAGGCAUUAGAGAGGCUCUCACAAGCUGAAGGACAGAAAUGGCCAGUCAGCAGCUAGAGAAUAUUGUCACAAAGCAAUCCAAGUGGACUGAUAGAGUGCUUCCAAAACACAAGCCCAGAGCUUAAUUUUUUUAACUGAAAUGGACACUUAAAAACUGUGGUUUCAACAGAAACUGAAGUUUGGUACUUCAUUUUGUCAUUAUUCUUCUUGUCAGCCCUUUGGUUUCCCCCAGGCAAUAAUUAACAGCUGUUCUUUAAGUUCCAUGAUGAUUAAAGCUGUUCCUCACUUCUAAGUGCUAAUUACCCUUUUCUCUAAAAACAUCUAGCAUUUUAAUGUAAUCGGGGUAUUUUAAUUCUUAUGAGACUUAGGAAGGUCCACAUACUUUUAACAACUUAGAUCUAUUGAUCUGAUUUAAAAAAAAUAGAUAUAUUUUCUAUUGCUUUCUAUGUCCUUGCCUUCUAUGUCUGGAAUCCAUUUUCAGGGCAGAGUAGAAGGAGUUUCUGGUGGAAGUUAAGAAAAAGAUAUGUAUUUUCUGACUCAACAGGGCUCUUUGUUUUCAAGCAAUAGAAAUAAAGAGGAUCUCUCUUGAGUUUCCUUUAAUUAUAAGCCUGAGGGUAGAGGGAAAGGAGGAGUGAUUUUUGUUUCUCAAUAUGAUGUUUGUGAUUUAGUUCUGCCUGGAGGAGUUGCUGUUUUGUUGCUAAAUUAUAAUUGCACCUUUCCUGUGGCUAUGGAGGAGAUUUGGCUGUGUUACACUUCUGAUUUGUGAUUGUCCUCCUUUUUCUGUGGGAGCUCUCUAAAAAGGUAAAUGGGAGUUAUAUCUGUGACUUAAAUGUGCUACUUUCCCUCCUUCACAAUCGUAAGGAUUUCCUGUUGGUAUGAACCAGAGCUGAAUGUCAAGUCAGUUCUUGCAGUCUGGCUUUUUCAUUCUAGAGAAAACAUGAUACAUUUGAAAUGUAUUUGAAAUAUCAUUUUCUCAUUAGAUCGUUAGGUUAUGCAAGGUGGAGGAUGGCAGUUACCCUUAAAGCUAUUUAUUACUGUGGUUGUGAAUCUAAUGAGGGAAGAUGGGAUUCAAGAAGGGACAUGAUAAAAGUUUUUGUAGAAGUGGGUAUAGUCUGGAUGAUGAAGGUAUAUGAGAAAAUUAAUGUUUAAAAAAAAGUUCACAAAUCCCUCAGUGUGUACAGUUCUGCUAUUACUUAUGAACAGCCCUUGAUCAAGUGUAGGCACUAAGUAUCCUGUAGUUUUCUUCUUCAUGGGAGUCUCCUGUUUUUCUAGCAGCACCAAAGUCAAGAAUUCGUGGCUUUUUGAGAAAUGAAGAAAUUAUUUUAUCUUAUUCCUUAGGUGAUAACUUCCUUUCUCUGAGCAAGUGUAAGCAGAAUUAUCAGUGAUCCUGAGCAUUUUUCUUUUCAGGUAGAAAAGAGUAGUUAAGAUGUGAGCAAGAAACUUAGAAAAUGUACAGUCUACUACAGGGUGUUUUAGACAGGGUAAGAGCUUGCUAUUCAUGGAGUUCCUCCUUCAGCUCUAGUGGUGUAAAGCUAGCUCCUGCUACAUGGAAAAAUUGCUCCAGCACAUGCAAAAAAAAAAAAAUUCAAGAAGCUUGGAUUUAUUUGAAGUAACACCAACAUAGAUCUGGGAUGAUGCCAUUAACAGCACUGCAGUCAAGCUGUCUAAAAGGCUAUCUAAAGUGUCUUUAAGUGGCUGAGCCAGAAAUACUGUUGGGGUCAUCGUGGUUUCUACCAGUAUUUCAACAAGCAAAUGACCAAUGAACAUACAGGCAAAUUCCAAGUGAUGACAGACACGGAUGAACGUGAGUAAAAUACACUCACUUCAGCUGAAAGAUGAAGCACCACAAAGUGAUACCUCUUUGGAGUGAGGAAAUUAAAGCUAGAGCGUCAGAAAGUAGCAUUCUUGAUAUUAUAGCCAUCUUAGGUUCCUACCAGCCCAAGUGUCCAACCAACACUACCUUCUUCAAAUGGCUUAAAGUCCCAAUAGGGAUGAAAGACAAAGGGAAUUCAAGGGAAGCAUCAGCUCUUUUAACAGCCAGGAAAGCUAGCAUUAAGGAUUGCUAAGUUGUAGUGAAGAUGAGAAUUGCACCUUCAUCUCUGUGUCCCUGGUCACCUCUUCAGCAGCAAAACUCCAGCCUUUUUUCUUAAACUAGAAUGGGCAUCGUUUAAAGACAAAAUGAGAAAAAUUGCUAAGUUAUGGACUGAAUAGCAGCAGUGUGAUUUUUCUAUGAAUCCAGGCACCUGCAAGGUAUCAAAGCCAAAGGCAUUAGUAUUUUUGGAAAAUGGGACCAAGGAUGUCAAGCAAGGAGCCAGCAGUCACAAACUGUUUAAUUCAUGCUGAUUUUCCCAGAACUGUAUCCAAGGAGAAUGUCACACUUUUCCGUUCUCAAGUUCAACCUUAUCUCUGAGUGCAUCAGCAAGUUUCACCUCUUCUCCUAUAACCCAAGCCAAGAAGAUCUAAGCAUAGGUUUUGUAAACAAGUAAAUUAGGACUCACACCUUCUACUGAACAGGAGGAAAAAAGCCAAAACAGAAGCCAUUAUGUAAAGACCAACAGAUGGAUAUAUGAGUGAGGGCGAGUUGGAUUUGCAAGGAUCUCACAGUACAAGAGUGGGGUUUAUAUCACCCCUGUUUCCUGUUGCAGCAGGAGGGUUUCUUCACUGAAAUGAACCUGAAACAAAUAGAAGCUGAGUUACCCACUUCAAGAUCAGCAAAGGUGACCUUCAUAGCAUGAACAGGAAAAGCAGGGAGAGAAUAGUAACACUAAGCCACUCAGUGGUGAUGAGUUUACCACCUAGCUACAACAUUUUUGACACGCAGCUGGAUAUGCUGAUCGCAGAUGAAGCCAAGAUUGUUACAGUAAUCACCGUAGCACAGCUACUGAAGCUGCCCCAUAAGGAAGCGUGCAACAAAGGUAAGAGAAGGGGAGAAAACAGUAGACACUGGAAAACUAUUUGUGAAAUGCUGGCAAAAGAACAACCACCAUUACCACUAAACCCACAUGCGUUCCUAUAAAGAUGGCAGGUAUACACCCAUACCUGUAGGCAGGCAUUAUCAAGGGGCCAACUCCUAGCUGGUGUUGGUAUCUAAUCAAAAGGUCAGCAGUAAUAAUAAUAAUAAAACAGAAAUAGUUCUCUGAAGCAAUAGUAUAUUCUUAGAUGCUAAAUUAUUUAUUACACCACAGAGCACCAUCCAACAGCAGGGGCGGGGGAGCGCCAUGGAGUCCCUCCUGCAAAUUAAGUGGUCUAAUAGUAAGACACAAAACAAGCUUAGAGUAAAAUCUGUAACAUUGGAAAAGAAA